rnacentral:pre_miRNA from 1 species
AUGAGAUAAAAUUAGCGUUUGAAUAUGUGAUUUAACGCUUAUUUCAUCUCAUGA